GCCGAAUUAGCUCAGUUGGCCAGAGCACGUGAUUUGUAAUCUCGGGGUCCACAGUUCGAAUCUGUGAUUCGGCUCAA
rnacentral:tRNA from 1 species